rnacentral:tRNA from 1 species
UGGGGGAUCGUCUAGCGGCAGGACCACGGACUCUGACUCCGUUAACCUAGGUUCGAAUCCUAGUCCCCCAGCCA